CUAAAUUUUUUUUGAAACUUUUGGUUCUUAUAAUGACAGCUUUUACAUGAACCACAAGUAUAAAACCCCACAGGUUUUUGUGCUUCUUCUUUAUUACCGUUUCUAAAGGUGCUUGGUGCCAAAACAUUUUUAAAACUUUUCCCUUUUCUAAAAAUAAUUUGUGGGACAGGAGGGAGUUCAGUUUUUAAAAAAUCAUCUUCUAGUAAAAGAGGCCAAUGUUUCGUUAAUAUUUUCUUAAAAUCUUUAGCAUGAGUAUUGUACUGAGUAUUAAAAGAGAAGGCAAAUUUAUUAUUAACCAAUGGGACUUGUUUUUC